UACGGGGGGGGCAAGCGUUGCUCGGAAUCAUUGGGCGUAAAGCGCACGUAGGCGGUUCGUUAUGUCGGAUGUGAAAGCCCUUGGCUUAACCGAGGAAGUGCAUCCGAAACUGGCGAGCUAGAGUACUAAAGAGGAUCGCGGAAUUCCCGGUGUAGAGGUGAAAUUCGUAGAUAUCGGGAGGAACACCGGUGGCGAAGGCGGCGAUCUGGGUAGAUACUGACGCUGAGGUGCGAAAGCGUGGGGAGCAAACAGG
rnacentral:rRNA from 1 species